rnacentral:rRNA from 1 species
UACAGAGGGUGCGAGCGUUAAUCGGAAUUACUGGGCGUAAAGCGCGCGUAGGCGGCUUUGCAAGUCGGGUGUGAAAUCUCCAAGCUUAACUUGGAAACUGCCGUUGAUACUAUCUGUCUUGAAUAUCCUGGAGGUAAGCGGAAUAUGUCAUGUAGCGGUGAAAUGCUUAGAUAUGACAUAGAACACCGAUAGCGAAGGCAGCUUACUACAGGAUGAUUGACGCUGAGGCACGAAAGCGUGGGGAGCAAACAGG